ACAUUAGUAAGGUAAAUGAUGAUAAAAUGCAGCUGAGGGUUCUGAAGACCAAGAGCGUCGAGCACAUGUCUUUCUUGGUAGCGUUUGCGAUGUUCGCAUACGCUAUAGUUUGGAGCGUCAUCUCGUUUCUAUCCCUGGAUCCUAUUAUGUUUAUUUCCUUUGGGAUAUGCACAUUACUUGGACUAGUCCAAGUAGUCGUGUACGCUGUGUAUUACCCAUGGACACAGAUGAUUAUUGCGGCGAGACAGAGACUAUGUGUUUGAUCAUAUGGUGAUCGAUCUUCCGUAGGAAAAGAAUCCGGUUAUUCCUACCAGCUUUAUUCUGCUCAGCCCAUCUGUUGAUUAUCUCAGACUAUAUUAUUAUUUUUUUCUAGAUUUAUUGUUAUUUUAAACCUUGAAAGCAUCGAGUUGUUUUAACU